rnacentral:rRNA from 1 species
UAAUACGUAGGGAGCAAGCGUUGUCCGGAAUCAUUGGGCGUAAAGCGCGCGUAGGCGGCCUCAUAAGUCCGUUGUGAAAGUCAAAGGCUCAACCUUUGAAAGCCGAUGGAUACUGUGAGGCUAGAGUUCGGAAGAGGCGAGUGGAAUUCCUGGUGUAGCGGUGGAAUGCGCAGAUAUCAGGAGGAACACCAAUAGCGAAGGCAGCUCGCUGGGACGAUACUGACGCUAAGGCGCGAAAGCGUGGGGAGCGAACAGGAUUAGAUACCCUGGUAGUCCACGCCGUAAACGAUGGGCACUAGGUGUGGGAGGUGUCGACUCCUCCCGUGCCGUCGCUAACGCACUAAGUGCCCCGCCUGGGGAGUACGGCCGCAAGGCUA